rnacentral:rRNA from 1 species
UUGAGUUUGAUCCUGGCUCAGGAUGAACGCUGGCGGCGUGCCUAAUACAUGCAAGUCGAGCGAACGGAUAAGGAGCUUGCUCCUUUGAAGUUAGCGGCGGACGGGUGAGUAACACGUGGGUAACCUACCUAUAAGACUGGAAUAACUUCGGGAAACCGGAGCUAAUGCCGGAUAACAUUUGGAACCGCAUGGUUCUAAAGUAAAAGAUGGUUUUGCUAUCACUUAUAGAUGGACCCGCGCCGUAUUAGCUAGUUGGUAAGGUAACGGCUUACCAAGGCAACGAUACGUAGCCGACCUGAGAGGGUGAUCGGCCACACUGGAACUGAGACACGGUCCAGACUCCUACGGGAGGCAGCAGUAGGGAAUCUUCCGCAAUGGACGAAAGUCUGACGGAGCAACGCCGCGUGAGUGAUGAAGGUUUUCGGAUCGUAAAACUCGGUUAUUAGGGAAGAACAAAUGGUAAGUAACGUGCACAUCUGAC